rnacentral:tRNA from 1 species
GCCCCUCUGAUGGAAUGGUAGACAUAAUAGUCUUAGAAGCUAUGACCUUAGGGUGUAAGAGUUCGAGUCUCUUGGGGGGUA